GCGGGAUUGGCGGAGCCUGCGUCUUGUGGUCUCAAUGCUUCUGGUAUAUUCCUCAGUCACUUUCACAGAGCGCAGCCUCGUCUAGACCUAUGGAGGAAAGGCAACCCCGCGUUACGAAAACGGUUGCGUAACAAAAUACUCGGGAGUGACAGUCUGCGCCGGUCACCGAGCUGAUCCCGAGAGCGAGCAGCCACCUCAGGCUGACGGGAGGCAGACGCUUUGUGCUCCAGUGACUGAACGUGAUGGAAGCUGAUGGCUGGACUGAUGCCCAGUGACCGUGUUCAGCAGGAGAAAGCUGGACCUGGUGGCGCUCCAGCUCGCCCUGCAGCUGCUGGACGUCCGUCUCCAGCUCGGCCACGCGGCCCUCCCAUUCCCCCUCUCGACUCUCCAGACGCCGUCGCAACUCGUGCUUCUCCUGCUCCAAGUGCUGCAUGUCAAUGAGGGGAGAGAGGGUCAAAUCAUCACUGAGGGUGGGACAAAGUCAGAGACCUCACAGAGACGCCGGUGCUUCAACAGACUGAAAAAGUUGUGCUCAGUCUUUCACUGUGUUGAAGACAAAAAGGAUGGCAACUCGAUCCUCUCGAUAAACAUUACUG